GGAUAACCUGCCCUUGGGACCGGCAUAACUCCGGGAAACUGGGGAUAAUUCCGGAUAACGCAUAUUUGCUGGAAUGCUUUAUGCGUCAAAAGGAUUCGUCUGCCCAAGGAUGGGUCUGCGGCCUAUCAGGUAGUAGUGGGUGUAAUGUACCUACUAGCCAGCGACGGGUACGGGUUGUGAGAGCAAGAGCCCGGAGAUGGAUUCUGAGACAUGAAUCCAGGCCCUACGGGGCGCAGCAGGCGCGAAAACUUUACAAUGCGGGAAACCGUGAUAAGGGGACACCGAGUGCCAGCAUCAUAUGCUGGCUGUCCGGAUGUGUAAAAUACAUCCGUUAGCAAGGGCCGGGCAAGACCGGUGCCAGCCGCCGCGGUAACACCGGCGGCCCGAGUGGUGAUCGUGAUUAUUGGGUCUAAAGGGUCCGUAGCCGGUUUGGUCAGUCCUCCGGGAAAUCUGAUAGCUCAACUAUUAGGCUUUCGGGGGAUACUGCCAGACUUGGAACCGGGAGAGGUAAGAGGUACUACAGGGGUAGGAGUGAAAUCUUGUAAUCCCUGUGGGACCACCUGUGGCGAAGGCGUCUUACCAGAACGGGUUCGACGGUGAGGGACGAAAGCUGGGGGCACGAACCGGAUUAGAUACCCGGGUAGUCCCAGCCGUAAACGAUGCUCGCUAGGUGUCAGGCAUGGCGCGACCGUGUCUGGUGCCGCAGGGAAGCCGUGAAGCGAGCCACCUGGGAAGUACGGCCGCAAGGCUGAAACUUAA
rnacentral:rRNA from 1 species